rnacentral:rRNA from 1 species
CAGCAGUAGCCACGGUAAUACGUAGGUGGCAAGCGUUGUCCGGAAUUAUUGGGCGUAAAGGGCUCGCAGGCGGUUUCUUAAGUCUGAUGUGAAAGCCCCCGGCUCAACCGGGGAGGGUCAUUGGAAACUGGGAAACUUGAGUGCAGAAGAGGAGAGUGGAAUUCCACGUGUAGCGGUGAAAUGCGUAGAGAUGUGGAGGAACACCAGUGGCGAAGGCGACUCUCUGGUCUGUAACUGACGCUGAGGAGCGAAAGCGUGGGGAGCGAACAGGAUUAGAUACCCCAGUAGUCCCUGUCUCUUAUAC